rnacentral:rRNA from 1 species
AUUGAACGCUGGCGGCAGGCCUAACACAUGCAAGUCGAGCGCGCGGCGGACGUGUGUGUAAUGUAUGGGGAUCUGCCCGAUAGAGGGGGAUAACUACUGGAAACGGUAUCUAAUACCGCGUACUAUUGGAUGAGCCCAAUUGGGAUUAGGUAGUUGGUGGGGUAAAGGCUCACCAAGGCGACGAUCUCUAGCUGGUCUGAGAGGAUGACCAGCCACACUGGGACUGAGACACGGCCCAGACGCCUACGGGAGGCAGCAGUGGGGAAUAUUGCACAAUGGGGGCAACCCUGACGCAGCCAUGCCGCGUGGAUGAAGAAGGCCUUCGGGUUGUAAAGUACUUUCAGUGGGGAGGCGUUAACAGCAGAAGAAGCACCGGCUAACUCCGUGCCAGCAGCCGCGGUAAUAC